GGAAGAGGUAAAGAAGGUACUACAGGGUACGGAGUGAAAUCUUGUAAUCCCUGUGGGACCACCUGUGCCGAAGGCGUCUUACCAGAACGGGUUCGACGGUGAGGGACGAAAGCUGGGGGCACGAACCGGAUUAGAUACCCGGGUAGUCCCAGCCGUAAACGAUGCUCGCUAGGUGUCAGGCAUGGCGCGACCGUGUCUGGUGCCGCAGGGAAGCCGUGAAGCGAGCCACCUGGGAAGUACGGCCGCAAGGCUGAAACUUAAAGGAAUUGGCGGGGGAGCACAACAACGGGUGGAGCCUGCGGUUUAAUUGGACUCAACGCCGGACAACUCACCGGGGGCGACAGCAAUAUGUAGGCCAAGCUGAAGACUUUGCCUGAAUCGCUGAGAGGAGGUGCAUGGCCGUCGCCAGUUCGUACUGUGAAGCAUCCUGUUAAGUCAGGCAACGAGCGAGACCCGUGCCCACUGUUACCAGCAUGUCCUCUGGGACGAUGGGUACUCUGUGGGGACCGCCGGUGUUAAAUCGGAGGAAGGUGCGGGCCACGGUAGGUCAGUAUGCCCCGAAUCUCCCGGGCUACACGCGGGCUACAAUGGAUGGGACAAUGGGUCCCUACCCCGAAAGGGGUUGGCAAUCUCACAAACCCAUUCGUAGUUCGGAUCGAGGGCUGUACUCGCCCUCGUGAAGCUGGAAUCCGUAGUAAUCGCGUUUCAAUAUAGCGCGGUGAAUACGUCAUGCUCCUUGCACACACCGCCCGUCAA
rnacentral:rRNA from 1 species